ACUCUCCUUCAUUACCUCCCCCUCGCCGGUCACAUAAUGUGGCCUGCGGACUCCGCGAAGCCAGCCGUUUACUACUUCCCUGACCAAAACGACGGCGUCUCAUUCACCGUUGCUGAAUCCGACGCCGAUUUCAGCCACCUCUCUGGCAAUAACGGAAACCGCGAAGCCGUUGAAUUUCAUCAUCUGACGCCCCAGUUGUCCAUAACCGACGAUAAAGCUGAGGUGGUUGCUAUACAAAUAACUUUGUUUCCGAAACAAGGGUUUUGCAUAUCCGUCUUGACUCACCACGCUGUCAUCGACGGGAUAAGCAAAACAAUGUUUGAGAGAUCUUGGGCUUAUUUCUGAAAACAAAUAAUUCAGAUGCAACAACAAAACCUUAAUAAUUCUUCGAUAUUAUUACCCACCAAGCUAAUCCCGUGCUUUGACCGGACUCUCAUCAAAGAUCGGAAAGGGCUGGACGUGGUUUAUGCGAACCACUGGCUGGCUUUUCAAUCCGACAAGCGAAGCUUGAAGCUCGUUAGUAUGCCGGCUCUGAAAGCACAUUCCAGCAUGGUUCGAAGGAGUUUCGAAUUGACCCGCGAAGACAUAAAGAAACUGAGGGACAAGGUACAGGGAAAUGAGGUUCUCAUAAGACAAGCAAAAGAACUUCAUUUGUCGUCUUAUGUGCUUACAUGUGCUUAUGUCUACGUUUGCCUGAUUAAAGCAAUGGGAGUAGAAGGUGACGCACCUGUUAUGCUGCGGGUCGGAGCAAAUUGUAGGAGCCGGUUGGAUCCUCCUCUUCCGGUUAAUUAUUUUGGUAACUGUGUUAGUGGGCAUGGUACCCCUGCAAAGGUAAGCGAUGUCGUGGAUCCGGAAAAUGGGAUCGCAUUUGUUGCUGACAGGUUAAGUGAUUUGGUCAAAGGGCUGAAGAGGGAAGUCAUUGAAGGAUCCGAGGAGAAGAUUUUGAAUUUGUUGAAAUAUGUAAAAGAGGGUGGAGGACAAGCUCCAGGAAGAUUGCUUGGGGUCGCCGGGUCGAACCGUUUUGAUGUUUACGGGUCAGAUUUUGGGUGGGGGAAGCCGAAAAGAGUGGAGAUUAUUUUAGAUCGUGUUGGAUCUAUUUAUUUGGUAGAGAGUAGAAAUGGAGGCGGUGCUGUUGAGGUUGGUGUUGUUUUGGAGAAGCCACAGAUGGAAGCUUUUUCGUCUCUCUUCGUUAAUGGCCUUAACUGAGUUUAUCAUAUUUUUGAGUUUUUUUCCUCUUCAUUCUAUUCUACUAUGAUAUGAGAUUGUGAUGGUAUACUCGUUAUUGCUGAGGGCACUUAUUCGAAUUUGCACGCAGGCUCUUUUCUCAGUAAACCUAUUACAAUCUUAUUACAUAUCAUAUAUUUGUAGAUCAAAACUAUUAAAAAAUAAUUAAGGACUUGAGGUUAUUCUCUUAUUUGAUAAAUAUCUAAUUAGUAGUAAAUGUCAGCUGUUACCUCUUUAUAUUUUUGCUUUGAAUAAAAAAAACAUAAACACUUAUUUUCUAUGCAUAUAUUUAUUUAUUUAAAUGUCAUAUCUUUAAGUUUUUUAAAUUAGAGUGAUAUCUUGAUAUCACUAUUCACUAGGGCCAUGCAUAGCUUUUAGAAGUGGUUGAAAGUUGAAACUUCAUCCUUUUGGCAUUACAUAUUUCGCCCGAAAGAAACUUCAACGACAUGAUCCGCAUGGGCGGCGAUUGCACAUUAUUAAAUAAGUCUCAUGCCCUUGAUCACACGUGUACUAGCUAGUCAAAAUAUUGACAAAUCUCAUUUUCGAUAACCUCUUAAAGGGAAAUAUUUAAUUCUAAAUAUGCUUUGCCUUUUUAAUGUCGAAUUCUUCAAAACUCAUUUGAUGAACAUUAAAUAUGUAAAAUAUUAUUUUCUACUUACAUCCAUAAUGCUCAAACUAGUUGAUUUCACCAUUUACUCAUUGAUUUAUGACUGUGGCUCCUCUUUAACUCAAAAAACAUAAUUAUAUAUCCAGCAUAUAAAAUUUGUGAAAUAAUAAACUAAUUUUCGAGGUACUCUCCACGAGUUCAUCCACCGACAUAAUAAUAAAAAAUUAUUAAUUAAACGUUUCAUGGCCUAAGUUAACAUAAUUGAGUUUUCAUAUAUAAACCACGAAAUAUCAUACACUUCUUUUGAAAAUUACGAGAUCCAAUUGAAAAUUACGAGAUCCAACAACAGAUACUUCGAUUAAAGUAUCGACUUAAACAUAGUCAUAGAACACUUAAGUUAAAAUUUCGUAUUACACACAACAUUAAUGUUUGUAUAUAGUUUUGUUAAGCAUUAAAAUUUACCUUUCUUCAUCAAUUUAAGUUUUUAAGUAAAAGGAUUUCAUUAACAUACUAUUUGAAUUAAUAUUUUUAAAAUAUAUAAUUUCAUCAAUUUAUUUUUUUAUCCUUCAAUAGUUACUUUUACUUUUUCAUUUUCUUUCUUCAUUUUUUUUAAUUCACCUAAUAGCUAAUAGCUUUGUAGUCACAAGUCCUAAAAACACUUUUUGAUCGAUUUUUGAUUUUUGUAACUUACUAUUCGAUUCCAGUUACCACAUCGCAUAUGCUUCAAGAAAAUGAAAGUUUCAUUAGCCAUCCAAACUCUAUCAAAAAUUCAUUUUAAUUGUAUCACAUAUCAUUAUGAUGAUAUUGAUGAUGAGUGUAUUGACAAAUAAAGAAUGUGCGAGUCAUUAUUUUAUUUUGAGUACAUGCAUGUUUAGUUCCGAUAUUUUUGGUUUAAGCACCCAUUUAGUCCUUAUAUUUUAAAAAAUACCUAAAAACAUCCAUGUAAUAAAUAAUAUUACAUUCUUAGUCUUUUUUUUUCUUUCUUUUUACAAUAACACCAUCGAACAAUAAUUUUGACAUUAAUCAAUAUAUAUAUGUAUGUAUGCAUGUGUGAAUGCAUGCAUACACAUGAACACAUUAAAAAGUUCAUUAAUAAAUUAACCAAUAAUUAUUUAGGAGCAAAUUAAACAAAUAAAUACGAGUGUGAAAGAAUUAUUAUUUUUUGUACUUGUGCAACAGUGUUACUAAUUACUAUUAAUGAAUAAAUUAAUAUAAGCUAACUUAAAGCAAUAUUUAAUAUGCUGACAACAAGCUUACUAAUUAUUAUUUCAUAAAAAAUUAGUUUACCAAAUUAAUACUAAAAAUAAAAUAAUUAUAAUAUAAAAGUUUGUGUAGAUUUUUAUGUUACUUUUAAAGUUGAUUUAAUAAAUUAUCAUUUUUUUUCUUUUUAUUAGUAUCUCCAAGAAUAUUCUUGCAAGGGUGAAAUUGUAAUAGGAAAGAAAAAGUCAGGUACGAUUAUAACACAUUUAACAACGUGGAUGUCUUGAGGUAUUAUUUUUAAUAUAAAGACUAAGCAACACUUUAAUCAAAAUAUAAGGAUUAAAUGAGCAUUUACCCUUUUAUUUUUUUUAAAAUUAAAGAAUAGUUCCUAACUUCAUAAUUAUGAUAGGAGUAGGUAGUAGAUUUAUAUAGUUUAGUUUUAGAUUUGAUUUAUUUUUAAAGAUUAAAACUUAUUCAGCUUGGAAUUGAUCAAUUUUUAAUUAGUUUUUAGGUUAUAAAAUUAUAUUGACUUAUAAUUGUUGAUAAAGCCUUCUUUCUAUUGAGUUCACUAGUAAAGUCUUAUGAAGGUUUUGUCGAUUCUAUGUUGCAUUGCAGAACAACCUUAACAUCAAAAGGUGAUAAAGCCUUUCUGAGUUCAAAGGAGGUUUAGAAGAAUAAUCGGCAUGAAGUAAGUAAUUUCAUCAUCGGAAUCGCUAGAGAAGCAAACACUUCCUUCGCCUUUAAAAUUUUACUCGUAAAUAAUAUACAAAAUUGAAUUGAUGAUGCAAGAAUAGUAUAUUUAACAAAUACUUGAUUCAAGCAGGUUUUGAUAUGGGAUCUGAGGCAUUGAUAUGCGAUCUUCUUCUCAUCGUGGCGAGAGACGAGUCUCGUGAGCUUGAUAGAAGCUGAUCAGCCGUUGGUUGAGAUGGAGGGAUUUGUUAUCUCUGCCGUUGAUUCAACAUUUUUGCGAGAAGUUCAUGGAACAUGGAAUUUUAACUUAUGCUUUGCUCUUACUUUUUCUAAGAGUAAGAAGGAAACAGAGGGCAAAAUAAUUUAAAGGUUCAGCUACCUUGGAGUAGCUCUAAGAUAGAGCAGUCUCCAAAACCGUUGGAAAUUGUUGAAUGUCUAUAGCUGAAUAUGAAACAAUUGUAACAAUGUACAUCCAACGGUUUUGGAGACUGCUCUACCUUAAAACUGCUCUAACGUAGCAGCUGCCUAAUUUAAAAGGAGGCAGAGUAUUUAAAAGGAAAUGGAUUUUAAAACACAAAAAUCUAUAAUCAUUUUUUUUUGGAAGUUGUGUUUGGAAUUGACAAUCAAAAUAGCUUAAAUACUCAAUGUACGUAUGGGUUCAAAAUUCAAUGAUUUUCCAUUAAAUUCUAUUUGAAUUCAAUUAUAGAUUGAAUCUCGAAACUUUUUAACCAACUCAAUCUAAUCUUAGAUUGCAUUUUAUAUUUUUGUGUGUGUGUGUGUGAUGUGAUACUAAACUUUAUUAAAGUCUGGGAAAGGUAUUAAGUCAUAUUGUCUAAUAGUAUAAUGCUAUUAACUUUCCUGAACUUUAACAAAUCCAAAAUCCUAGAUUAACACACUUAUAUAUAGUUAUUCUCUCAUAUCGGCAUCCUCAUUUUUGUUGUAUAAUGUUAUUAGCUUUCUCGAACUUACACCCACCCACACACACACACACACACACACACACACACACACACACACACACAACAUUAGUAGUUUUUUUUAUCUGAAAUCUUAAAGUGUAGAAAAAGUCCGAGAAAACUUUACAACAGUGGGGUUUAAGAGGCUUAAAACUUAUAGCGCUUAAACCACGCGGUUUAUUUGUUUUCCCAGGCUUUUUUGCACUUCAAAAUUCUACAUUGGAAUAUAUAUUUAUAUUUAAUUAAUCUCAGAUUAAAAACCCAAUCAAGCGAGUAAUCAUUAACAUCAAUAUUGACUAAGGCACCAUUUGAUAUAUCUUUCAAAUAGUACUUAUUUAAGUAGAAUUUUAUUAGUAGAGCUUUUAUAAGUAGAGUUUUUAUUAAAAAAAUUAGUUGUUUGGUUGUUAAUGAGAACUUUUAUUAAAAUUAUAAAAUUACUUUAAUAGGCAAGUUAUUUAAAGUUAUGCUAUAAAGAAAUGAAAUAAGAUUUUGAAAUAAAGAAAAAAUAGUUUAGAUAUUUUAAUAUUUUAAAAAUGUUUUUUAACCUUUACUCCUAAAAGCCGAAAAUUUGAGCUUUUGCUAAUAGAGACAAAAUAACUUAUUUAACCUUCAAAAGCUUUACCCACAAAAAAAAAAAAAAACAACAACAAAAAAAUUUAAAAAAAGUUUACGAGAUUAAAUAAACACUUAUGACUAUUAGAUAAGUCAUACUAAACAAGCACUAAAUAAUUUUAUUAAACGAGUAAAAUCGUAGAUGUAGUAAUUAAAUACAUGUAUGAUAUAUUGGUUUAACAAGACCUACAUAAAAUUUUGAUUAUUAAUAUUUAGAGAGUAAUUUAUCUCUACUUAUAUUCAUGAUAGAGAAAAUAUUUGAAUGGCAGUGCUACUCAAAACUUAUAAUCCCAAUAAACCAUCAUUUGGUUUUUAUAGCUUAGUUAAGUUAUAAAUUUGCCCCCGUCAUACUAAUCAAAUAAAUUAAAUUUAGGUUUAAAAUUUAUUUUAAAAAUCACACACACACUGGCGCACAUACAUAUAUUUAUCAAUUUAAAUUUUAAGGUCAGAGAAUUUCAUUAACAUAAUAUCUAAAUUAAUAUUUCAAAUCUAUUUAACCCAUCAAUUUAUCUUUUUAUAAUUCAAUAGUUACUUUUACGCUUUUGUUUACUUUCUUUCAUUUUUUUGCUUCAUCCGAUAACUGUUAGCUUUGAAAUAAACAAUUUUGAUCGAUUUUUGACUUUUUUUCGCUUUCGUUUUAUUUCUUUCAUUUUUUGCUUCAUCUGAUAGCUGUUAGCAUUGAAAUAAACCAUUUUCAUCGAUUUUUGACUUUUGCAACUUACUAUUGGAUUCUAGGUAUGACAGUGCUUAUGCUUCAAGAAAAUUACAGUUUCAUCGGAGAUCCAAACUCUAUUAAAAAUUAAUUUUAAUUGUGUUACAAAUCACAUAAUUUAAUUAUGAUGAUAUUGACGAUGAGUGUAUCGACAAAUGAGGAAUGCGAGAGUCGUUGUUAUUUUUUUGUAAUUUAAAAACAGUUCCUAACUUCAUAAUUAUGAUAGGAGCGAGCAACAGUCUUAUAUGGUUUAGUUUUAGACUUGAUUUACAUUUUAAAGAUUAAAACUAAUCCAAUUUGGAAUUGAUCAAUUUUUAAUUAGUUUUGUAAGUUAUGAAAAUUAUACUGACUUGUAAUUGUUGACACGUACUUGCUUCUAUAAAAUUUAUUAUCAAUAAUUUAAAAAUCUAACAACUUAAAUGUCUUUCAUUUUUUUUUUAAAUUUACAAUCACAAUGCAUUCUAGUUUAUGAUCUAUAUAAUUAGAAUUCUAUCUAGUAUUUUUAGAUUGUAAAUUAGUAUUAAUUGUAAGUACCAUAGUUAGGUACACAUACUUUUACAAAUUUUAUUGAGACACUGGGUACGAUAGGUGAUCAAAUUUGGCCGGCGACCACGUGAAAUUUAUUGCUUCACAUUUUUGAUGGAUUGGAUUCAUGACAAUGAGGGCUAUUUAAGCACUUCAAAAGCCAAAAUACUGAUGCACCAAGGAGUGGUUUCGGCAUUGUUUCUUAAUAUUUUUACUCUCUCCCUCACGAUCGUCAUGGCAGAAAAACAUAUAGUGAAAAUACAUUCAGUUAGCAAAAUCAGCCCGCCGUCGUCCGACUCAGUCACCGCCUCCACUCUUCCACUCACCUACUUCGAUACUCUCUGGCUAAAAUUUCCACCUUCAGAACGCCUCUUUUUCUAUCAAAUCACUGACCUAACUUUCGAUUUAUUCAACUCAGUGAUCAUCCCGAAGCUCGCUGACUCUCUCUCUCUCACUCUCCUUCAUUAUCUCCCCCUCGCCGGUCACAUAAUGUGGCCUGCGGACUCCGCGAAGCCAGCUAUUUACUACUUCCCUGACCAAAACGACGGCGUCUCAUUUACCGUUGCUGAAUCCGACGCCGACUUCAGCCACCUCUCUGGCAAUAACGGAAACCGCGAAGCCGUUGAAUUUCAUCAUCUGACGCCCCAGUUGUCCAUAUCCGACGAUAAAGCUGAGGUGGUUGCUAUACAAAUAACUUUGUUUCCGAAACAAGGGUUUUGCAUAUCCGUCUUGACUCACCACGCUGUCAUCGACGGGAUAAGCAAAACAAUGUUUGAGAGAUCUUGGGCUUAUUUCUGCAAACAACUAAUUCAGAUGCAACAACAAAACCUUAAUAAUUCUUCGAUAUUAUUACCCACCGAGCUAAUCCCGUGCUUUGACCGGACUCUCAUCAAAGAUCCGGAAGGGCU
rnacentral:lncRNA from 1 species